GACACUCUGUAUCUAGCUACUCUGGUGAGGCCUUGGAGAACCUUUGUGUCCACACUCUGUAUCUAGCUAAUCUGGUGUGGACUUAGAGAACCUUUCUGUCUAGCUCAGGGAUUGUAAAGGCACCAAUCAGCGCCCUGUCAAAACAGACCACUGGGCUCUACCAAUCAGCAGGAAGUGGGUGGGGCCAGAUAAGAGAAUAAAACCAGGCUGCCUGAGCUAGUAGUGGCAACCAGCUUGCGUCCGUUUCCAUGUUGUGGGAGAUUUGUUCUUUCGCUCUUUGUGGUAAAUCUUGCUACUGCUCACUCUUUGAGUCCACACUGCUUUUAUGAGCUGUAACACUCACCGGGAAGGUCUGCAGCUUCAAUCCUGAAGCCAGCGAGGCCACCAGCCCACCGGGAGGAACGAACAACUCCAGACGCACCGCCUUAAGAGCUGUAACACUCACCGCGAAGGUCUGCAGCUUCACUCCUGAGCCAGCGAGACCACGAACCCACCAGAAGAAAGAAACUCCGAACACAUCCGAACACCAGAAGGAACAAACUCCAGACGCGCCAACUGUAACACUCACCGCGAGGAUCCGUGGCUUCAUUCUUGAAGUCAGUGAGACCAAGAACCCACCAAUUCCGGACACACUGAUGCUCAAUAAAGGAAUGUAGAAGAAUGUUGGGAGAGAAGCAUUCUCACCUAUUUCUGAUCUUAACAGGAAGCAAGUGCAUUCGUCCCACCUCACCAACAGCUUGAAGAGUCACAAAAACGUGGACAUCGCACAAUAAAGUGUAAGAGACUCGGGGAGAAAUGGUCCCUUGGACUAUAUUGGCUGUAAUACUGAGGUAACCAAUUGACCUUGUUCAGUGAAAAUACCUCUAACAAAAUGAAAAAAUCAACUAAUUAUAACUUCCAAUUCACAUAUACAAUUCAAAUAAAAAUAUAUAUUAUUUGCUUUAAUGUAUAGCAAGUUUAAUACAUUAGUGUUUACAAAAUAAAAACUGUAUUCUACUGAAA
ensembl:lncRNA novel transcript, antisense to NAB1